UUGUUUUGUUUGUCGCUAGUGUGAUUUCCCUGGAUCUUGGUGGAGUUAAAUGCUGAUACGUUCCUCCAAACACGCCUGAUAUCGACAUGGAGUCUGCUGAAAUGUCGCUGACGAGUUCAUCCUGCCUUCAGAUGGCACAUCAGAAAGGAAACAGAGGGCUGGUUACUGGUUAACUGGGACGAUGGAGCUCUCCUCACGUACGCACAACCAGCUGCUGGCUGGAGUUUGAACUGCCGUCAUGUGAGACACACCAGGUGCGAGCUGAGGACACAUAAACAUGGAGUCAUGUUACUGAGUAGGUUCUAAUGUAUCUGAGUUCGUAUGAACCUGAACAUGGGGUCCUCCUUCCUCCUCCUCCUCCUCCUCCUCCCUCUCAUGGUAAACAUCACAUCCAGCACGUCUCACUUGUCUCCCUCACAGGACUUUCCAACAACCAGCCACAAUACGACCGGAAGUCUGAAUGCGUGCCUUCAAAAUAAAGGCUUGACUCGCCUUUGAGUCGGAUUGUUGCCUCGUGA